GUUAAACGGCCGGCAGGAAUUAUCCGCUAGAGAAGCGGAAGGGAGAGAAUGGAAAUGGCCGCAUGCAGCUCCUCUCCCCCAGACAGCUCGGGGCUCAGCGGAAUGAGCACAGUCUGCAGGACAAGUGUGGAGGACUUCAGUCCCCUCUACUGUAUAUUGGCGUUAGGACUCAAGUUGUCCCUGAAAUAGAGGAAGGUGUUUUCUAGAGUAGUAGUAAUUAUCACAGUCAAAAAAGUAGGCAAGAGCACUUAGGAAAACUGUGCGGAGAUCAGCUGCUGAUAUGUAAAUACUGCUGAAGCUGCUUAUUCAAGAUUAGAAAACCUGAGACCCAGAUGGGGGAAACUGCUUUCCACGGUUAAUCAUGAACAACUGGCCAGGAUGGGACAGAACCCCAUACACAGCCUUCAUUCCAGGGCUCAGAACAAAAAGAAGGCAGUGGCCUGGGCUGCACCUGAGCUUGGCUUCACAUAGGAGUGAUUCUGGAAUGCAGGCUCCUGAUGACGACCUCAAGCCCCUGUAAAGCAACACAUUUUUUGGCAAGAAUGCCUGGGACAGAGAAAGAAUUUCUUCUCACUUAUUAUUGAGAAUGUUCUCAUAUCUUUACAAGGCUCACUGCCCAGUAGAAGCUGAAAAGAUUCAGUACGAGUAAAAGAAGAGAUCAGAAAUUUGCAGCUUGUCAUAGAAAGAACUGGGACUACCAUACAGCUAAAAAAGUCAAAGUUGCUAUUCAAGGGGAAGUGCAAACACAAAAUGAGGGAAACUGAUGUAUUUAGUGUCUACAUUUUACAAAUGGAUGCUUUUCAUAAUAUGAAAAUACUGCACCAUAAGAUUGCCAGUCACAACAUCAUGGCUAUGAUGAAAAUGUGAGUUCACAGCACAGUGCAGAUCUUGCAGUUGGCUAAUAGAACGUGAGUUUUAAAGUGGUUUAAUAAGUGUCAAUCUUAUUUUUUUCCAGGAUCCCAGUGGAUUUGUUAUGGUGAGAAAGCUUCACUUGGAGACAAAGCCAAAACCUUCCUCCCAGACUCCCUUGGAUGUAGUGGGAAGGAAACUGGCUGUCCAGGCAUCUGAGCCACAUCUACGCACCUCAUGAGAGAGCCUGCGCAACGUUGCCUUAGAGAUGGAGAGCAUUGCUUCAGAAUCAGGGAAGCCUGAAUUUCACCCCUGGGGCUGCCCCUUGUGAUCUUGAAUGGCUCCUGACAAGAGGCUGCUGGGGAGGUUCCUGUUCCCUGCCUUCCAGGACUGCCGUGGAUUGCCCAUUGAUGGGUCAAAAUCCAGCUACCUGGUAAUUCAAUGAGUCCCUAGUGUGCAUCCAAUAAAUUAUCUUCUGUUUAAAUUAGAACAAACUGUUUUUAAUCUGUGUGCUAAGAAUCUCAUUAAAUGCAUCAUAAAUUUCAAAAUCAAAAAGUAAAUAAAACAUUUAUCUAUCGAGUACU
rnacentral:lncRNA from 1 species